GGGCAGCUUGCUCCUGGGGAUUAGUGGCGAACGGGUGAGUAACACGUGAGUAACCUGCCCUGGACUCUGGGAUAACCCCGAGAAAUCGGAGCUAAUACCGGAUAGGACCUUCUCUCGCAUGGGGGUUGGUGGAAAGUUUUUUCGGUUUGGGAUGGACUCGCGGCCUAUCAGCUUGUUGGUGAGGUAAUGGCUCACCAAGGCGUCGACGGGUAGCCGGCCUGAGAGGGUGACCGGCCACACUGGGACUGAGACACGGCCCAGACUCCUACGGGAGGCAGCAGUGGGGAAUAUUGCACAAUGGGCGCAAGCCUGAUGCAGCAACGCCGCGUGCGGGAUGACGGCCUUCGGGUUGUAAACCGCUUUUAGUAGGGAAGAAGCCUUUCGGGGUGACGGUACCUGCAGAAAAAGGACCGGCUAACUACGUGCCAGCAGCCGCGGUAAUACGUAGGGUCCGAGCGUUGUCCGGAAUUAUUGGGCGUAAAGAGCUCGUAGGCGGUUUGUCGCGUCUGCUGUGAAAUCCCGGGGCUCAACUCCGGGCCUGCAGUGGGUACGGGCAGACUUGAGUGGUGUAGGGGAGACUGGAAUUCCUGGUGUAGCGGUGGAAUGCGCAGAUAUCAGGAGGAACACCGAUGGCGAAGGCAGGUCUCUGGGCACUUACUGACGCUGAGGAGCGAAAGCGUGGGGAGCGAACAGGAUUAGAUACCCUGGUAGUCCACGCCGUAAACGUUGGGCGCUAGAUGUGGGGACCUUUCCACGG
rnacentral:rRNA from 1 species